rnacentral:rRNA from 1 species
GCCAACGGCCAUACCAUGUUGAAUACACCGGUUCUCGUCCGAUCACCGAAGUUAAGCAACAUCGGGCGUGGUUAGUACCUGGAUGGGUGACCGCCUGGGAACACCGCGGUGCUGUUGGCA